ACUAUUGAGCAUGUCCAAAUGAUUUAGCAGUAUAUAUUCCGGAAGAAUUUCAUAAAAUGUUUGUAUUUUAAGACAUUUUGGCGCACGUUUUUGCAUGGUAUUUGAGCUGUACCAGAACAGAUACCAUGCGGCGUUUGAUAGCAAUGCAGUUUACAAGCAUUGAAUGCCUGACGCAAUGUAAUGUUGCAUCAAAAGAUUGAAGCACCCAGCAUGAGAAAUGAAAGCCAGGUGUUACUGACAAGACCUUAAGAAACUGAGGUCCAGUGUCACAGUAGGCACAGGCACAAUGAAAAAAAACCCCACUGCUACGACCAUGCCACCAGUUAGUUAAAAAAUUGAGGCACUUCCCAUACAGCUGAUGAAGUCUUAAGAUUUGAGUGAAGAAUUCUUAAAUGGGAUGUAAACAAGACCCUAUCCUAAAGGAGAUGAGAGAACGAUGUCAUGUUUACAAGAAUUGAGGAAAAUUGAAUUAAGCAAAGCUUUACUGUGAUGAGUCCCUGUAGGAAUUUUCUGUAUGAAUUACCUUGCAACGAGGAGCUGUGAAUAUCAACAGUAUGGACGGAAGUACCACUCUUCCUACAGGUUUGAGAGUGCCCAGAUCUGUCAGCAUCCCAACAG